rnacentral:rRNA from 1 species
UACGUAGGUGGCAAGCGUUAUCCGGAAUUACUGGGUGUAAAGGGCGCGCAGGCGGCCCUGCAAGUCGGAUGUGAAAGAUCAAGGCUCAACCUUGACAGGCCAUUCGAAACUGUGGGACUUGAGUGUCAGAGGGGAAAGUGGAAUUCCUAGUGGAGCGGUAAAAUGCGCAGAUAUUAGGAGGAACACCGGUGGCGAAGGCGACUUUCUGGCUGACAACUGACGCUGAGGCGCGAAAGCGUGGGGAGCAAACAGGAUUAGAUACCCGGGUAGU